rnacentral:rRNA from 1 species
AGUGAACGCUGGCGGUAGGCCUAACACAUGCAAGUCGAACGGCAGCACAGUAAGAGCUUGCUCUUACGGGUGGCGAGUGGCGGACGGGUGAGGAAUACAUCGGAAUCUACUUUUUCGUGGGGGAUAACGUAGGGAAACUUACGCUAAUACCGCAUACGACCUACGGGUGAAAGCAGGGGAUCUUCGGACCUUGCGCGAUUGAAUGAGCCGAUGUCGGAUUAGCUAGUUGGCGGGGUAAAGGCCCACCAAGGCGACGAUCCGUAGCUGGUCUGAGAGGAUGAUCAGCCACACUGGAACUGAGACACGGUCCAGACUCCUACGGGAGGCAGCAGUGGGGAAUAUUGGACAAUGGGCGCAAGCCUGAUCCAGCCAUACCGCGUGGGUGAAGAAGGCCUUCGGGUUGUAAAGCCCUUUUGUUGGGAAAGAAAAGCAGCAGGUUAAUACCCCGCUGUUCGGACGGUACCCAAAGAAUAAACACCGGCGAACUUCGU